GUGGGGAAUAUUGGACAAUGGGCGAAAGCCUGAUCCAGCCAUGCCGCGUGUGUGAAGAAGGUCUUCGGAUUGUAAAGCACUUUAAGUUGGGAGGAAGGGCAGUAAGUUAAUACCUUGCUGUUUUGACGUUACCGACAGAAUAAGCACCGGCUAACUUCGUGCCGGCAGCCGCGGUAAUACGAAGGGUGCAAGCGUUAAUCGGAAUUACUGGGCGUAAAGCGCGCGUAGGUGGUUUUGUAAGUUGGAGGUGAAAUCCCCGGGCUCAACCUGGGAACUGCCUCCAAAACUGCAUGACUAGAGUACGGUAGAGGGUAGUGGAAUUUCCUGUGUAGCGGUGAAAUGCGUAGAUAUAGGAAGGAACACCAGUGGCGAAGGCGACUACCUGGACUGAUACUGACACUGAGGUGCGAAAGCGUGGGGAGCAAACAGGAUUAGAUACCCCUGUAGUCC
rnacentral:rRNA from 1 species